AUUGAACGCUGGCGGCAUGCCUUACACAUACAAGUCGAACGGCAGCACGGGAGCAAUCCUGGUGGCGAGUGGCGAACGGGUGAGUAAUAUAUCGGAACGUGCCCAGUAGUGGGGGAUAACUGCUCGAAAGAGCAGCUAAUACCGCAUACGACCUGAGGGUGAAAGCGGGGGAUCGCAAGACCUCGCGCUAUUGGAGCGGCCGAUAGCAGAUUAGCUGGUUGGUGGGGUAAAAGCUCACCAAGGCGACGAUGUGGAGCUGGUCUGAGAGGACGACCAGCCACACUGGGACUGAGACACGGCCCAGACUCCUACGGGAGGCAGCAGUAGGGAAUUUUGGACAAUGGGCGCAAGCCUGAUCCAGCCAUGCCGCGUGCGGGAAGAAGGCCUUCGGGUUGUAAACCGCUUUUGUCAGGGAAGAAACGGCUCCUACUAAUACUGGGGGCUAAUGACGGUACCUGAAGAAUAAGCACCGGCUAACUACGUGCCAGCAGCCGCCGUAA
rnacentral:rRNA from 1 species